rfam:Clostridiales bacterium 41_21_two_genomes Ley3_66761_scaffold_7114, whole genome shotgun sequence.
GGACCACCCAGCGAGGUUAAGGCCAUACGGACAGCCGGGUCCACUGCCGA